rnacentral:rRNA from 1 species
AUUGAACGCUGGCGGCAGGCUUAACACAUGCAAGUCGAGCGAGCGGCGGACGUGUGAGUAAUGUCUGGGAAACUGCCUGAUGGAGGGGGAUCACUACUGGAAACGGUAGCUUAUACCGCAUACCCUCAGAUGUGCCCAUAUGGGAUUAGCUAGUAGGUGGGGUAAUGGCUCACCUAGGCGACGCUCCCUAGCUGGUCUGAGAGGAUGACCAGCCACACUGUAACUGAGACACGGUCCAGACUCCUACGGGAGGCAGCAGUGGGGAAUAUUGCACAAUGGGCGCAAGCCUGAUGCAGCCAUGCCGCGUGUAUGAAGAAGGCCUUAGGGUUGUAAAGCACUUUCAGCGAGGAGGCGUUACCCGCAGAAGAAGCACCGGCUAACUCCGUGCCAGCAGCCGCGGUAAUAC